AAGCCUGAUGCAGCGACGCCGCGUGGGGGAUGACGGCCUUCGGGUUGUAAACCUCUUUCAGUAGGGACGAAGCGCAAGUGACGGUACCUACAGAAGAAGGACCGGCCAACUACGUGCCAGCAGCCGCGGUAAUACGUAGGGUCCGAGCGUUGUCCGGAAUUACUGGGCGUAAAGAGCUCGUAGGUGGUUUGUCGCGUUGUUCGUGAAAACCGGGGGCUUAACCCUCGGCGUGCGGGCGAUACGGGCAGACUGGAGUACUGCAGGGGAGACUGGAAUUCCUGGUGUAGCGGUGGAAUGCGCAGAUAUCAGGAGGAACACCGGUGGCGAAGGCGGGUCUCUGGGCAGUAACUGACGCUGAGGAGCGAAAGCGUGGGGAGCGAACAGGAUUAGAUACCCUGGUAGUCUACGUCUUUAAACGGUGGGUACUAGGUGUGGGUUUCCUUCCUUGGGAUCCGUGCCGUAGCUAACGCAUUAAGUACCCCGCCUG
rnacentral:rRNA from 1 species